rnacentral:lncRNA from 1 species
UGGAAGCUGGAUGGACUCAUUGCUCUGUCCAUUGGAGUGGGGAAAGGACUGAGCCCAGAGAGCUUCUGAAAAGAGUCAGUAUAAGGAAGGAGAAAUGGCUCUGAGAGGAACUUGACUUUCCCUGGCCUCCGGACUUUUUCAGAUUCAGUGCUCAUGCAGAACCGGAUAUUCUGGAGACUACGUGUGACUGCUGGCUCUUCUCUCUUGCACCCAGGCAAACUGGUGCUGUCAUAAAAAUGCUAUCAAGAUUUACUGCUGCUUCAUGAGACACAGGACUAAGCCAGAGGGACACCAUGCACCCUAAACCUACUCAUAGCCGCUGCCUCUGAAACUCGACUCUGUAAUUUGGUGUGGUUUACAGCCCAUCAGCAUCAGAAUUGCCUGGAGGAUUUGUGAAACACAGGAGAACUCGGUUUCCUUCUAGACCAACUGUAUCUGCAUGCAUAUCAAACUCUCCAGAACACCACUGAAGUCCAUUUUAUUGCUUCAUACUGGGAGACAGCGUCUGCUGGGCGAAUGCUCCAGGUUCUGGUUAAACGAUCUGACGUCACAAGAAAUACCUGGGCUCAAGACGUACCCUGAGACAAGCCAGAAAGAGUGAGUCAAAGACCAUGUCUAAAGAAAAAUAAAUGAGACGUUUUCAAGAGGAUUUUGAGUUUUCCAGGCACGAUUAUUCCUACCACCCCAUGUUGCUGCUCCUCUCAGUGAUAAUGUCAUCGUGGCUUAUGUCACAAUAUCUGGGGCUCUCUCAGUCUAGAUUUUCCCAUGGAGCAGCCAACUGCUUGAGGCAGCUGCCUUAUGAUCAGACGUUCAAAGAGCUGCUAAAAAUGUAACUACCUGUAAAUGUCAGUGUUUUUCAAAUAAACGUUUUUC